rnacentral:rRNA from 1 species
CUCCCGUUGAUCCUGCCGGACCCGACUGCUAUCAGAAUGAGAUUAAGCCAUGCGAGUCAACGUAGCAAUACGUGGCACACGGCUCAGUAACACGUAGUCAACAUAACCAGAGGACGUGGAUAAACUCGGGAAACUGAGGCUAAACCGCGAUAGACCAAGAUACCUGGAAUGGUUUUUGAUUAAAAUCUAUAUGGCCUUUGGAUUGGACUGCGACCGAUCAGGCUGUUGGUGAGGUAAUGGCCCACCAAACCUAUAACCGGUACGGGCUCUGAGAGGAGGAGCCCGGAGAUGGGUACUGAGACAAGGGCCCAGGCCCUAUGGGGCGCAGCAGGCGCGAAACCUCUGCAAUAGGCGAAAGCCUGACAGGGUUAUUCUGAGUGAUGCCCGCUAAGGGCAUCUUUUGGUACCUCUAAAAAUGGUGCAGAAUAAGGGGUGGGCAAGUCUGGUGCCAGCAGCCGCGGUAAU